rnacentral:ncRNA from 1 species
AAUCGUGAGGUUGGGGCUAAAGGAAGUGUGAAACAAAAUCGUGGGCCAACGAACAGGAACUUAAAAGGCUAUGUAGACGGACAAGGUUGCAUAACAAACUAAAGUCCAAAAGAUACCCGUAACUCUGCAGAAGUAAUUUAAGUGGCUAAACGAGGAAAGUGA